GGCCUCCUGGUGCCUACCACUGGCAGUGCUAUUACACUGUGAAGAAAAAGAAAGCAGACUACCCCCUAUACACCUCACCUCACCCCAGGCCCUGUGCCUGGUCUGUAUGUGAAUGGGGGAGAUGUAG
ensembl:snoRNA